rnacentral:piRNA from 1 species
UCCAGGCUUUAUGCGUGGUUCGUUGCUGC